rnacentral:piRNA from 1 species
UAGAGGAAUUUACCUUGUCUAUCAGAUUGC